CGAUGGCAAUAGCUUUCAUGAUCUGCCGAAUCAUGUUCUGCUCUAUAUUUCAUGAUCAGAUUUAAAUUUUUGAUUUAAACUUUUUGAAGAAAUACAUAUUUCUAUGUUCCUAGUGUUUUUAUGAUUUCUAUAAUUUGAGCAGCAAUUUGUUAUCUUCACCUAAUUAUAAAUUAUGUGAACUACUUAUCCUACAUGGGAAAUGUCGUGACUUCGGUCAAUGCUUUAUCCAUUAUCGACAAAUAAAAUUGACUCUACUAAAUGAAUACAAACUGAUAAUUUUACUGUGUAAACCUAACUCAAAGUUAUGAGAAAUAUAGCGUUAGACAAGAAUAAAACUUUUCAUCAGCAUAAACAUGACUGAAUUCUAUGUCAUCAAAAGAGGGUUGUUUUCGAAUUACAACAACCAUGAACCUUAUAUUGUGGAAUUUUCUUCAACUAUCUAUCAUGUGGGCUAAAAAUUCCCGAAAAGUAACCUUGUUUAUGAACUUAUAACAAAGGUUAUAUUUACCAAAAUGAAAACUUGUUUAAAUAUUAAAAGAGUAAGCAAAAAAUUAUCUUGUGUAAGAAUAAGGUUUUUCACCAGUAUGAACGAGAUUGUGAAUCUUUUGGCAUCACCAGAAUCCAGUUGUUUAGUCAGGAUAUUUUAUUAAAUUAUAGCAAACUUUAAUGUCAUAGUAGAACUUUCUUUCAAUUACAAAUUGAAUGAAACUAACAUAAGUUAAUACUUUAUGUGAAUCAACUGCAAAUAAUGGUUUUGCGGACGUCAUAUUUAUCUGACUGAAGAAGUAUUAAACUGGUAUCUGAAUAGUCGGAACAGACUGCAUUAUUUUGAAGCAAUGGAUUAGGUGAAAGGGAAAGUGAUUAUUUAUUUAAUUGAAAAUUGCUACUAUUCAUGUCUAUACAUUUUGUGAUAGGUAAGCACUGCAGUUUGUGAAGCAGCUUCAGGAAGGAAGAUCCACAAAAUCAAAAUAUGGUGGAUUUUCAUUACAACAGAGUGAACAGAGUCUUUUGUAUUAUGUAAUAAUAUGUAAUAAACCUUUUCAAACCUUUCAAGUUC